rnacentral:rRNA from 1 species
AGCGGCGGACGGGUGAGUAACGCGUGGGUAACCUGCCCUGUACACACGGAUAACAUACCGAAAGGUAUGCUAAUACGAGAUAAUAUACUUUUAUCGCAUGGUAGAAGUAUCAAAGCUCCGGCGGUACAGGAUGGACCCGCGUCUGAUUAGCUAGUUGGUAAGGUAACGGCUUACCAAGGCGACGAUCAGUAGCCGACCUGAGAGGGUGAUCGGCCACAUUGGAACUGAGACACGGUCCAAACUCCUACGGGAGGCAGCAGUGGGGAAUAUUGCACAAUGGGCGAAAGCCUGAUGCAGCAACGCCGCGUGAGCGAUGAAGGCCUUCGGGUCGUAAAGCUCUGUCCUCAAGGAAGAUAAUGACGGUACUUGAGGAGGAAGCCCCGGCUAACUACGUGCCAGCAGCCGCGGUAAUACGUAGGGGGCUAGCGUUAUCCGGAAUUACUGGGUGUAAAGGGUGCGUAGGUGGUUUCUUAAGCCAGAGGUGAAAGGCUACGGCUCAACCGUAGUAAGCCUUUGAAACUGGGAAACUUGAGUGCAGGAGAGGAGAGUGGAAUUCCUAGUGUAGCGGUGAAAUGCGUAGAUAUUAGGAGGAACACCAGUUGCGAAGGCGGCUCUCUGGACUGUAACUGACACUGAGGCACGAAAGCGUGGGGAGCAAACAGGAUUAGAUACCCUGGUAGUCCUCGCCGUAACGAUGAGUACUAGCUGU